GGCGACAUAGCCAAGUGGUAAGGCACGGGUCUGCAACACCCUUAUCGCCAGUUCGAAUCUGGCUGUCGCCUCCA
rnacentral:tRNA from 4 species